rnacentral:rRNA from 1 species
UGGGGAAUAUUGCACAAUGGGCGAAAGCCUGAUGCAGCGACGCCGCGUGAGGGAUGAAUGCCUUCGGGUUGUAAACCUCUUUCAGCAGGGACGAAGCGAAAGUGACGGUACCUGCAGAAGAAGCACCGGCCAACUACGUGCCAGCAGCCGCGGUAAUACGUAGGGCGCAAGCGUUAUCCGGAAUUAUUGGGCGUAAAGAGCUCGUAGGCGGUUUGUCGCGUCUGCUGUGAAAGACCGGGGCUCAACUCCGGUUCUGCAGUGGGUACGGGCAGACUAGAGUGAUGUAGGGGAGACUGGAAUUCCUGGUGUAGCGGUGAAAUGCGCAGAUAUCAGGAGGAACACCGAUGGCGAAGGCAGGUCUCUGGGCAUUAACUGACGCUGAGGAGCGAAAGCAUGGGGAGCGAAC